AUUAUUAUUUCCAAGUUGUAACUGACUUAGCAAAGUCAUGUUAUUUAUUAAUCGAAAAACAGAAGCAGUUAUAUUUAUUAGUGCAUAGAAGUCGAGGAAUUAUUUCGACUGCAACGCAGAUUAAAUCUACGGAUUUAAUUUAAGUUAUAUUACAGUUUAUUAAGUUAGCAGGAAAGGAAAAAGAUAUCAAGCAAGAUACAGAAAUGAGAUGAUUGAAAAUCGAAGCCAAUAUUUUAUUACAGUAUUAGCAUCACCAAGGCAUGAGGAUAUACUUCAUUUAUUCAUCAAUCUCAUUCUCAUACUUUACAAACUCUUACAACCAAUUUUCGUUCAUACCUUCCAAUUACACCACAAUAAAUUGGCAUUUGCAUAAAGAAGAAAAGAGAAAGAAGAAUAAGAAAAGGGAAAAGGAAAAGGUGUGUCCACCAAGCUUUGCUCUCCACCAAGCUUUGCACUCCACCAACUCCCUUCCCCACCACCACACGCAAGAAUGCAUUAACAUUACCUUAUACCUGCAGCAAUGUUAUAACAGAGAAUUUCUUGCAUAGUCGAACACCAUCACAAACAUCAAUUUACAGCAACUCACUCCCACCCAUCAUCUGGAGAAAUCAACAACAAAAGCCACCAACAACAAGCAUAGAAGGUAUAUACUAAGCUCAGCUCCAGUUCAUACAUCAUAUCAUCAAGCAUAUGUUUAAAAGGAAAUACAUAGUAUACAAGUGUGUAUAUAUAUGCAUAGAUGGAUUAAGCAAUCACGAAAUCAAAUUUUUACCUAUGUUUCCUUCACAAGGCACUAAGAAACUCUUGAUACAGAAACAGACCACUAUAGCUAGUAGAACCCUUGCAUAAUCGACAUAGAAUAAAAGCUUCAGGAAAUGGGUGUAUAUUACACUUUGAUAGCUAUAAUUCAUCAAGAGAUUCACGAACGAGGAUUUAUAAUAGCAUAGAAGUUAAACUUAGCUUUGGAGAAUAAGGGCCGACUGCCCAAGCAACUGCCGAACCCCGACGCCGGACGGAACUGGCGGAAGCUGAACGACGCCGGACCUAAGCUCGGCGGCAGCCGACGCCGGUUGGAGCAUAGAAGGCGACUGAAUCUCGACUGAUGUUGAGAGAGGCCGACUGAUUCUCCGGAUUCCGAACGAAGGAGCAGCAGCGACCGACGACGGCGCUCUCCCAGACGACGACCGCUGACCACCGGACGAGCAGCAGCAGUCGGCGGCGACUCCAGGCGAAGCAGCAGCCGCUCCAGACGGCGGCGAUGGCUCCAGACAAGGGCGUGACAGCAGCGGCGACCUUCCCGAUUUCAGGGCUCGACGUCAGAGCGGGAUUUAUGAGGAUGGGAGACGAACGGCGCUGCUUCCAGGAGGCGACCGCCCGUCGGAUUCCAGAUGGAGGUGCGACAUCGGCGAUGACUUCCUUAGAUUCAGGGCUCGAUUGGGUUCUGCGGAUGGACCAAAGGAGCAGAAAGAGAACGGUGCCGGGGUUAGACGCGUCAACAGACGACGCCGGCCGAAGCAAGCGACGGCUGAACGGCCGGAGAAGGCAGCCGACCAGAUUUAGCGGAGGAGAAUAAGCCGAUCGGCUUUGUGAGAAAGGUGAGAAUGUGUUUUGAGUUAGAGAGAGAGACCGACAUUUUAAGAGAGAGAGAUUCAAUUGGGCUUUAUUUUAUUUUCUCUUGGGCCGAGAUAUUGGGCCUUGUUUUAACUGUUGUGGGCUACAGAUUUUAAGUGUUUUGGGCCUGGAUUGUUGGGCUUUGGCUAUUGGGCCGAAAAUGUAGAAGGAAAGAGUGAAUGGGCUUAAGUUGUUGGGCCGGUUUUUAUUCUAUUAUGUUGGGCCUCUGAUUUUUAGAAUGGGCUUAAUUUUAUUUCUUUUGUUUGGGCUUUCAUAUUUAAUUGUUUGGGCUUUUCCCUUUUAAUUUUCGGGCUUGAAUUUUAAUGGCUUGGGCUUCACAUCUAAAUUCGAAUUGGGCCUUUAUCUAUAUUAUUUGGGCAGAAUUAUUUGAGCUUGGGUUUGUUUUAUUUUAAAGGAAUUGAGCUUCCAAUUUAAUUGAUUGGGCUUUCAUUAAAUUCGAACUGGGCCAAUCUUUAAUUUAAUUGGCCUUCUCAUUAAUUCUAUUGGGCUUGAUUUAUUUAAGGAAUUGGGCUGAUGCAUAUUUUAUGAUGGGCUAUUAUUCCAAACCUCAAUUAUUAUUUGGACCCCUAUUUUAAUUGUUUUGGGUCGAAGACUUUUUAAGAUGGGCUUUAAUUCUUUUAAAGCUUGAGCUGAAGUUACUCAUUUGAGCUAAGCCUAGCAGUAUCAAUUUUUGAUGGAGCCCAAUUAUUUAUCAGUGGGUGAGCCGAUUCGUAUUCAGUAAAUGAGCCGCCCAGUUUAUUAAUUAUUGUUUUGGACUUCAGACUUUAAAGCAAGCUAUUAUGGUUUAUUUCAUUAAAGCCCAACUACAUUGUAUUUUAAUUGGGCUGUUGUAUUAUCUGAGCUGGACCUUGAUUGAUUUAUUUAUUUGAGCCCAACUAACCAAUUAUUUUACUUCAGUUGGGCCUUAUUUAUUUUAUUCAGAUGGGCCUCUAUUACUUCAUUUCAAUUGGGCCCUUUAUAUAAUUAUUCAGGCCCACUUUUACUUAAUUAAUUAUUAGGCUGCCUUAUGUCGAGUCUUUUAAUUAAUUAAACUUACAACAAUACUUUCUUCCAUUUAUUAAGCCCGAUUGAGUUUUUGAGGUUAUAAGACGAAUAAGUUGAAGUAUUUAUUUAUUUAUUUUCUAUUGACUACGAGGAGCGGGGUUUAUUAAAUUGACGGUUUAGAACAUCCCGAAGAGAACGGAUUAAUUUUAGUUAAUUAUCCGGCUUCAUGAGACGAGACUUAGCUUUUGUUUAAAUCCGAUAGCCUGGAUUAACAAUAGAAAUUCCCUGAUUAUUGCUCAGAAGAUUAGUUCAUGCAUACCAGAUUCAUGCAUAAUAGUUAAAUUACGCUUUCUCAUUAAUUGAGAAUUUUCCUCGAGCCAAUGUCUUAUUUUAUAUUCUCGUGAUUAAGGUCAAGAGCGAGAGUAAGAACUAUUCAAGGAGUCACAGUACCUUAGCAAAACUUUGCUAUCAGGUUGAGUUGUGAUGGGCGAUGAAGUGUUGCUGAGUGGAGUUUUUGUUGAACUUAAAGUAGGCUCAGAAAGGAUACAUGUCUUCAUACAUGUAUCUCAGUUAUGCAUUCCGCUGUAAACACUAAUUAUUUCAGUUACACCUUCCGUUGCAAACUCUGAUAAUGUUUUAGCCAAGCCCCUAACGAUGCCUUUUUCCUUUUAAGGAAUAUAACGCUUAUACAAGUUCGUUGAGUACCCUUUUUAUGCGAACUAUGCCUUUUUCCUUUUUAAGGAAUA